rnacentral:rRNA from 1 species
ACGAACGCUGGCGGCGUGCUUAACCCAUGCAAGUCGCACGGAAAGGCCCUGCUUUUGUGGGGUGCUCGAGUGGCGAACGGGUGAGUAACACGUGAGUAACCUGCCCUUGACUUUGGGAUAACUUCAGGAAACUGGGGCUAAUACCGGAUAGGAGCUCCUGCUGCAUGGUGGGGGUUGGAAAGUUUCGGCGGUUGGGGAUGGACUCGCGGCUUAUCAGCUUGUUGGUGGGGUAGUGGCUUACCAAGGCUUUGACGGGUAGCCGGCCUGAGAGGGUGACCGGCCACAUUGGGACUGAGAUACGGCCCAGACUCCUACGGGAGGCAGCAGUGGGGAAUAUUGCACAAUGGGCGGAAGCCUGAUGCAGUAACGCCGCGUGCGGGAUGACGGCCUUCGGGUUGUAAACCGCUUUCGCCUGUGACGAAGCGUGAGUGACGGUAAUGGGUAAAGAAGCACCGGCUAACUACGUG